rnacentral:misc_RNA from 1 species
CAAUUGAUUUGAAAUUCAAGGAUGAUUGCAUAUGUCUCUAAGUAGCAAUAUUAUUAUGGCAUGAUGAAAGAGGAUGUGUUAUAGUUUUUCCUUUUAAUUGCUUCAUGAUUGAAGUAUUGGAUUGUGGUGCUUGGUUUGAUUUGGUUAAUCCUAUAUGUAUUCAUUUUAACAACAUUUUUUUAGGGGGUUGGCUUUUAGGGUGUCUCUGUUGUUGACCUCAAUUUGGUUAUUGAGGUACACUAUUGAUUUUUUUUUAAUUCUUUUUUUAUGGAUGAUGAUUUAAGCGCUAAUUUAUUGUUUGGAUAUAUUUACCUGUGUGAAUGACAUUUUCUGGGUUCAGGAUCUCCACAGGUAAUUUCCAU